rnacentral:rRNA from 1 species
GACGAACCGUGCGAACGUUGUUCGGAAUCACUGGGCUUAAAGGGCGCGUAGGCGGGUCGGAAAGUCCGCGGUGAAAUCCCCCCGCUCAACGGGGGAACGGCCGCGGAUACUGCCGGCCUCGAGGGGGGUAGGGGCGAGCGGAACGCUGGGUGGAGCGGUGAAAUUCGUAGAUAUUCGCAAGAACACCAGUGGCGAAGGCGGCUCACUGGUCCGGUACUGACGCUGAGGUGCGAAAGCGUGGGGAGCAAACAGG